UCAUAAGAAGCAAUUGGCAGUUUCUAUUUGAAUUUCUACCAUGAUAUAUUAAUUUGGAAUUAUAAUGCAAUUGAAAUUGAUUAAUGGUCCCAAGAAUAAUUUUUAAUACGAUGAGGAUGAAAAGACCUUCCAAAUCUAUUAAAUCGUAAAGGUUACAUGAAUAAUUUCGUAUGGCUUCCAAAAGGCACCGCUGACAUUGAAAUACGACUCCUCCUAGCCUUUGUAAAACGCACCUCAAUAAUAUACGAGAACUGGAAUCUAAAAGUUUUAAGUUACUCCCACACGGCUGACCGAAAUAAUAAGAAUGUCUUACUCGGAGGUUUACAAUUGUUGCUGAGGAAUGACCAUCAUUAGAAGUACUUAAACAGAGGCACUGCGUGGUAAUGCGCACCUCGCGCAAGAAUUAAAAAGGAAGAAAAUCCGUGAAUUCAAAAUGUUAUGUUUUUUUAUUUAUUUAUUUAUUAGUUUGUAUUUCAAAGGCGUUUUGCAUCAAUUGAUCAUUUUUUUCUUUAUAUAACGAAAUUAAAAAUAUGAACAACAACUACUACGUAAUUCAGAUAGUUAAAGAUAUAGAGAUAAAAUACAUAAAUGUAAAAUUUCAGUUAUACAAAAUAUAAAUUUUACUUCCAUUUUGUUAUUAUUUUAUUUUAAAUAGUAUAUAUAAGUAUUUAUAUAUUUUUUUUGUAAUUUUUUAUUUCUAAAUUCUAUUCUGCAAAUUUCAUAUAUGUAUAUUUGCAAACAAUUCAAUACAUUUACUAAAUUCAAAAUGAUUACCAUUAAACUAUCUAGUGUAAGCAGAAAUUUAAAGCUCCAAUUUUGUAAAAGGCAAAUCCGAUUUGUUAAUUACUACUUAGUAGACUAAAUUAAGGCCAAUGCUCGAGAUUGCCCCAUUAUGACGUAUGCAUUUUUCAAAAUCGAAGUUUACAGCUUUCUGCAAUUUUUUUUCUACAGCAAUAAAUAUGUAAACUGUAAGAAAAUAUGAAGCAAAAUCGGAAAUGUCAAAACAAGGCGAAUUUGUUAAAAAGCUUUGAUCUAAAUGCCAAUGCGAUUGCAAGAAGCUGUCGCAAAAAUCAAAAAAUUAACUGCAUGAUGAUGUGUGUAGUAUAAUUAUUUUUUUUUUAAAUGCAGUGUCUGCACGUAAUGAAAUUGUUUCGCAAUUUGAAAAUGUGGAUAUAUCAGCUCAGACAAUUGAAUUUGGUUUUGCGUAGCCACAUGAGUUUGGAGUAAAGUGUAAAUUUGUAAUUGUAGUAUGUAUGUAUGCAUAUGUGUGUGUUAAACUAUGAAUGCGAACUGCUUAAGUGCUAUUGUAAAUUAUCGUACAGUUAGAAUUAGUUAGUCUAACAACUUAGCUAUUACUACAAAUAUUUUAUGUAAAUAUGUAUAAGGUUAUGAUAUUUUUCAUUGUUUUCCUCAACUGUUCAGCGAUUGGCCGUUUACAAGUUUAACAUUAUUAAUUAUUAAUGCAAUAAAUACAUAAGUAUAUAUAUAUACAUAUAAAUUUGUUCUUCAAUAAAAUUGUAGAAUAGCGCAACAUUUCUAAUGUGAAUAUGAAUUGACGAAAUGUUAAGUUCAGCGCAACCAUUUCCAUUACCGCAUUUCAUAAAUUAAUGUGGAUUACAUUAGGAUCCUUAUAAGUUUCUUCGUAGUUAUUGAGCAAAUCGUUUGUAUUUGUUAGAAACAAAUGUAUAUUCAUUCAAGUUCAGAAAGCUUCAUUGCCAGUUAAACGAAAGUGGUGUAUAAGACCUGCUUAUUUGGCUAGUUACAUGUACUAAAACUGACAUAAGUGCAUAUAUCUUUUUUAUGUAUUAAUAUAAUAUUGUUAAUUAAAUAUUUUAAGGCCAGUGGUGAUUUGAUUAGAAGUUUGUCGUAGUUUAGUUUCUACUUAAUCCAUUUGAUUCUUCUGCUUUCCAGUCAAUUCCAACAAUACAUUUAUUGUUCAUUACAUGCUUCCCAAUUAAAUUUUUUUUCUAUCCAGCCUGCUGAAAUAGAUCAUUUUAACAUUACUAUCUUCAAACUUUUACAAAUUUUAUACUUUUGUUUCUAAUAUUGUAAUAUUUUGUUUUUGUUUCUAAAUUCGUCAAAUAUAUGUAUAGUUUUCAAAAUGAUAUAAACUUUAUAAAUUGAUGCGCCGGAUAUUAGUGUGCCUGCACAAUCUUCCUGUACAAAAAGUCAUACUAAUUUCACCCAAAUAAUUCAGCGUUCAUCAUUAAUUAUUGUUUUUAAUGUAAGGCACAAUUUUCAAAGUUUUUUAUAGAUUGGAUGUAAAGCUUCCAUAAAUAUCUUUUUAUGCAUGAUUGCACAUUUCUAAUUGACAUUUAAAAUUUUUUCUCCACCAAACCAAAUAUAUUAACGAUACAAAAAUAUAUUUUUUCAACGCUUAGAUUACUAUCAACACCUUUUAUUUUUAUUAUUUUACUAUAGAUUCAGUACAUUAUCGAUAUAUGAAAUAUAUUCAUUAUCUUUUAAUAUUAAAUUUCGUUAAAACCAAUUUAUAUGUCAAAUGAAUAUCUACCAAUUAAUUAUAAAAGCAGUUUGACACCUGGACAACAGCUGGCGUAACUAUUUAUUUAUAAACACAAUUUUUUUAUAUGAAAAAGUAUUGCCACCAACAAUUUACACUUGUAUAUAUGAACGUAUAACGAAUUCUUGCGACCAUAUUUUGCAUCCUUUAACUUUGUUAUAUGUUAUAUACGAGCACAAGCCAAGAUCGAAAAUAGUUUAAUAUACUCUAGUUACAAUAAAAAAAAAUUAGCGUAAAGACUGUGUGGCAUAUUUA
rnacentral:lncRNA from 1 species